UGACUGUAGUUAAUAGUUACAACAAUGUAUUAUAUAUUUCAAAAUAACUAGAAGAGAGGACUUGGAAUGUUCCUUAUAGGAAUUCAAGGUGAUGGAUACCCCAAAUACCCUAAAUUGAUCAUCACAUUCUAUGCAUGUAACAAUAUCACAUGUGCCCUAUAUAAAUAUGUACAAAUACUGUGCAUUAAUUAAAAUUUUAAAAGCAAGACCAAGGUAUGUGCUGUUAAUGAGAAACCCAUUUUAAAUAUUAAGGUAGGUUAAAAGUGAAAAAAUUAAGGGGAAAAAAACAGUGCAUGCAAGUACUGGUAAACUCCAAACAAGGUCUAUCAACAGUUUAGUAAUAGUAUUGUACCAAUGUCAACUUCAAGGUUUUAAUAAUAUGGUUACUUAAAAUGCUAUCUUUGGGGGAAGCUGGAUGAGAACAGAACUCUCUGUAUUAUUUGUGUAAUUUUUCAUGUCUUUACCAGCAUCUAGGAAACUGUAACAGACUAACACAUUAGAUUGUAAAUAGGGUAAACUCAAAUAGCAGACUUAGCAAUUUUGUUGAGAAAGAAAGGAUGCUGACAGACAUGGAUUUCUGAAUUAGGAAGGACAAGGAUCUGCAGGCCAGUUCAACAAAAUAAGACUCCCAAGAUCCAGUAAUAAAUACUAUUGCCCAGUUGGCAGGAAACCCUACUUCUUCCCGUUUAUAUGUUGAGCUGCUAGAAGCAGGACUGAAAUAAGUUACCCAAAUAAUAACUUCAUUGUUGCUCACUCUCUUCGAGGCAGAAAGAAGAAAUGUUAUGACAACAGAGCAGCAAGUCCCAUGGUCCCAGCUAAAAGGCGGUAUUACGGCUGUGACUGCUGAGGUGGAGAGUCCUCAAAGAUGAGGAAACAAGCCAAGAGUGGCUUGCCUGAGAUCACAAUCAUUCAGGAAAAUGAACCCAGAAGAUCUAAGUGCUCAUCCCACUAAUGGCUGGUUCUGUAACUGUCUUCUACUAGUUCCUUUUAUAGAAUUCUUUUUCUAUUAUUUAACAAAACUGAAAAUCAAGAUUAUUCCUUUUCCUCAGUGGAUUCUAACUUUAUUACAGUGAACCUGAAUGAAACAAAGUGAAAAUAAUUAGUAUAAGGCCUGGUAUAUUAUAAGGCCAAGUAUUCAUAUUACUGACUUCCUAGAAGCAUAUAAAAACAGGCUAAUCCAGGAGUUCAAAAGUAUAUAUGCUCAACUCAUUAAAAUACCCACAUCUAUGGUUACACUAACUUAGAUGAAAACAACCAAGCAACUAUCGUUUCGUAGCAAUUGGCAGACUUUAAUAUUCAAGAAAAAUUAAUUUCAUCAUACACAUUAAAAAUAUAGGAAAUUUCAUGCAGACAUGAAGCUUCCAAUUCAGCUUUUGUGGCAACUUUUGAAUGAGAGUUACAUAUAAAUACAGUACAUUUUACAGUUACCAAACUUCAUAAUUUUAGACUGUGAUUUAUACAGCUUCUCCUUAUAUUGUACAUAUUCCACCUUGCUCACUUGAUUAGCAUACCCUAUAUCUGCACUGCUUCAGAAUAUAGAAAUUAAAGAAAAAAACACAAGCACAAUGGACUAUCUCCUCGCAUUUCACAAAGUAAAUGAAAAUGUAUGUGUAUUACAGCUAAUUUAAGAAAAACAUUUUAAACUUUAAGGCUUACAUACUUUAGUAGCUAGGACUAAAAUUAAGAAAUACAAAGUUAAAUAAAUCCUCCAGUGAUACUUCUAUUACUGAUUGAUACCACAUUUUCAAGUUUAGAAUAUAUUAACUGCGAAAGCUGUAAGAAAAAAAGUGAUGCAAAUUUGUGUAGAACAUUUAAAAAACAAUAUUCAUGAUACAAGGGAUAAAUUAACAAAUGAAGUAACUGAUUUCAGAAUUAACUAAAACAUAUGCUAUAAUUUAGAAAUGUAACAUUAUUAAAGAAAACCUAAUAGAAAAAAAAUUAAUAAAGCCAACCCACCAGUGUCAACCUGUUUUUGCCUGUGACAAAAACAAAGAUCAUUUGUUUUGAUGCAAGUUGUAAAAAAGUGAAUACUAGUCAGUGAAUAAAAAGUAUGUCUAAGUCAUUCAAAAACAGCAUGCAUUCCUUUCUGUUCAAUUGAUUUUUUAAAAAUACUUAUGUACUUUGCAAGUUUUCUUCUUUAAAAACAAUAGUUUGAGUUUUCUUCUUCCUUGCCACUAAAUUCAAACUCAUUCAUGUAAGUAAUAAGAAUUUCCACCAAAUGAACAUCUGCUAAGUACUGAGGGACACAAAAAAGAGAGAUCUUUAAAAAAAAAAAAGUUACAGUUUUCCCAAUUUUGACAUGUCAAAUUAACUGCAUGAAACCCUCUAUUGCAUAGUGAGAGUAAAGGUCACGAAAGUCCCAUCACUGUACACGGAAAAGGUCCCCCCAACUAGUAAGAUGCCAAAUAGGGUAGUGACUCCCCAGCCUAAGUGACAACAAAGGUUUAAACAUUUACAAGUAAGUUUUCCUAUUAAAACAUGACUUUUAUGCGACCAGCACAUUGCUGAGAUUAAAUCCAUCUAAUUUAAAUUGCCACAGAGGUCAUUUAAAGCAAUCACAAUCAUCUGUGAAAAUAUUCAAGAAGAGUUCUUCCUUUUCUCCAAGAAAAGGCUAAAACAUUAGUCAUCUCUACUUUCCAAGCUACUGGAAACAGAAUAACAUACAUUAAAAAAAUACAAAGGAAAACUCCCUCCAAUAAAGAUCUGCUAGAGGUAGAAAUUUAAAGCAGCAUAUACUGUUUAAGCUCCGUCUAUCAGGGAACAAAAUUGGCAUUAAUCUGAAAUUACAUGAUGGCUGCUGCUUACAAUAUUGAAGACACAGACCAUGGGCAGUAAUUUAUCCCUGAAUUUCAUAAUCAAAAUUCCCCACAUUAAUACUAUUAUGACAGUUUUUCCUAGUAUAUAAUUGUUUUAAUGAAAAAAGUGCUUGCUUUCAUAAUCCAGAUAAUCUAAAGAAAAGACAUUAUUGUAAACAUCACACUGUCAAACUCUGUAUUCAUUUAGAGUCUGAAAAUCAUAUAUUUCAAAUGGGUAAAUUUUAUUCUUAUUUUCUCUGUUUCCUAGCACUACUUUUAAUAAAGGCUUUUUAUUUCUCACUUUGAAUGUUGAGAUCUCGUAUAUUUCAAAGUGAUCCAUGAUGAGUAUGCUUUCAUGAAGUGUUCAGUUUAUUGUGGCCAAAAGACUUUGAUAAUUUCUCAGUUAUUUGAAUAUAUUUUACCGGCCUGUGAUGCUAUUAAAUUUAACAUUUCAUAAAAAAGAAAUGUUUGAUGCUUCUUUAAGUUCAUCUGAGCUAGAAAAUACAAAAUUAAAUUAAUCUGAAUGAUAGAAGAAUAGACACAGGCCAGGCGCGGUGGUACAUGCCUAUAGUCCUAGCUACUCGGGAGGCUAAGGCAGGAAGAUCGCUUGAGUCCAGGAGUUUGAGGUUACAGUGAGCUAUGAUCGUGCCACUGCACUCCAGCCUGGGAGACAGAGCAGGAUCCUGUCUCUGAAGAAAAAAAAAAAAAAGACACAUUUUACGCAUAGUUUUCUUAGAUUGAAAGUGAACAAAGUCCCAACUCCAGAUGUUGAAUAUGACUGAGGAUCCUUAGACUCUUCUAAAAGUUACAUGUGCAAUGCAUACAAAACAACAAAAAAAAAGAUUAUUAUGGACUUCAAUACUAAUAGUCAUUAAUACGGCAGACUUGCAAUGGACAGCAUCAUGAAGACACUGGAGAUUAGGUUUUUUUCCUACUGAAACACAAUCUGGGCUUCAAGGAAAAAGUAUACUUCAAGACAUUUCCUCCAUUUUCACUUGUGUAGUACAAAUCUGCAUGGCAUAGUAUAUUUCUGAAAAA